rnacentral:rRNA from 1 species
CCUACGGGUGGCUGCAGUGGGGAAUAUUGCACAGUGGGCGCAAACCUGAUGCAGCCAUGCCGCGUGUGUGAAGAAGGCCUUCGGGUUGUAAAGCACUUUCAGCGGGGAGGAAGGCGUUAAGGUUAAUAACCUUGGCGAUUGACGUUACCCGCAGAAGAAGCACCGGCUAACUCCGUGCCAGCAGCCGCGGUAAUACGGAGGGUGCAAGCGUUAAUCGGAAUUACUGGGCGUAAAGCGCACGCAGGCGGUCUGUCAAGUCGGAUGUGAAAUCCCCGGGCUCAACCUGGGAACUGCAUUCGAAACUGGCAGGCUAGAGUCUUGUAGAGGGGGGGAGAAUUCCAGGUGUAGCGGUGAAAUGCGUAGAGAUCUGGAGGAAUACCGGUGGCGAAGGCGGCCCCCUGGACAAAGACUGACGCUCAGGUGCGAAAGCGUGGGGAGCAAACAGGAUUAGAUACCCUAGUAGUC